rnacentral:lncRNA from 1 species
GGGUGGGAAGAAAGACCAGGUUAGGACGACAAAGCACCGCGACCAGCACUCUUGCGCAUAUAAGCCAGCAGGGCGCGGGAAUUGCUUCGUUGGCAAACAAAAAGGAACUACGUAGCGUAUCUUCGAAAUGAGAGAGCAGAAACAAUGUACUAGACCUUACACAGUCAAUGCUGCUGCCACACGGCGGCAGUCCAUUCUCAUUCAUGUCUGCUGGUGCUAUUCGAGUCGCGGCUGCUCCUGUUUUGUUAAGUGGAGAACUAUCUCGUCCGCCCCACCGUCGCCGGUGGAUUGUGGCGGGCACUGGCGACAGUGUCGGCCUCCAAGCGGACCCUACUGGAAGAAAAUGCCUGAAAGAGGUUUGUGUUGGUACAAUAUGUACGAACGCUUGACGUAACCGUCAAAUGGCCUGCUCUCACUUUUAUCGAAACCGUUCCUGCCCUUGAUGCAGCUGUAUGAUGCAGUUUAAAGUCAUCACUCGUUAGCUGUUCCCGUCUCGGCUUCGGAGGCCAGUCGAAAAGAAAUGGGUCAAAAAAACGAGGCAAGGAAGAAUAUAACUAUAGAACGAUUGUAAGAGUUCCAAUUCGACUAAUCUCAUUAUGAGGCGUUCUCAUAACUUGAAGAGAACGGAUGUCAAGUCCAAGCAUUGUCAUAUAGAACUAAGCGCGAAUGACCAGCCAUUCGCACAGUGCGUAAUUUGUGCGCAACGGAACGUGGUUUGAUUUGGUGUAUUUGAUUUGGAACUUUUAUUUAAAUUCUAAAAAUAUGAAUCGAUCAAUCGUAACAAACGUUCGGAUGGUUAUUUUGUGUCAGUCAAUCAUCGAACACAUGGCCAGGAGUGCUCGAGCUUCUGUUCCAGUAAGGAGCGAUGUCAACUUGAAGGGAACGACCAUUUAGUGAAGGCGAGUAGUUUUCAAGAGGCCAGAGGAAUAGUACGUGUAACAGGUGCGGUUGGCUUUCGGUCUGUUUGAGAAGAAAUUGCUUCCGAAUAGAUAACAACUGGACUGCAUCUUCAUAACUCAAGCAAUACAAUGUAAAAAAUAUACACCUGGCUCAAGUUGAUCCUAGUGAAAUUUAUCAAUCCGAAUAGCGGCAAACUUUAAACUAACAUUACUCUCAAUAAGGUUGAUGGUCUUAAUAAGUUUGCAGGUAUUUAUUUCCAAGGUUCUUUCAAAGGCAACAAUGUUUCCUGUAAAGCGCCUCAUACUUAGAGCAGGUUGAAACGAAUUAGAUACAAUAUCUCUGUAUCCACACAACUUUUUGACGAAGCAAGGCUACUUGCAAUUUCUGUUAAAACAAACAGAAAGUACAGCUGCACACUUUUAGGUAUACUUCCCUGAUUACCAAUGUCAAAGUUUUCCUACACGUAGAAUAUAGUUGACAUAUCGGCAAUUAGAUUUUGUAUGGUUACGCGAAAAGGCCACGGAGGUACGUAGGGUCGAUAAAAUAUAGCUUGCCGUGCUGACUACUAGACAUCCAGCAAUUAUAGAGGCAACAUAGAAAUACGUUAUAUUCGGCGCAUGACGCCGAAACAGGUUCAGUCGAGGCAUUUCUUUAAAGCAUGCCCACGGAGCACAGACUACGAGGUCGUUCCAUCCGUUGGAAAAGCGUUGGGCAACAAGUUGGAAUUCAUGUAGAAUCACCGUUUUCGGUACGGAACGAUGACUCGAUUCGUCUGUGACAUAAAACACUUUGAAAAGGUCACCACAGAAAGGUCACACCAUUUAUGCGCUGCACAUGGAGGCGUGGAAGUUCACAUGCGUCAUCUUAUCACUAUUUCAUUAUUCGGUGCAAUGAUAUGCUUUUCAUGAAAUUUUAUCUUACUAUAGAUUGCACAGGCAAAAUGAGCGUGCACUAUUAAAGCGGUGUAUUUACAUCCCUGCACGUUGCACGUGUACCUUAUACUAGAAAAACGUCCGGUAGCUUAGGUUAAACUAGCUGAUAUUUGCAUUUUACCCCCGAAAGUAAAAUAGUCAACGUGGAUCAACAUUCGCUAUGAAUGAUAUUGUCAGUGGCGUUGUCCCGAACAUGUUUCCAGUGUACGUAGUACGUCGAGUACUAUUACCAGGCUAAAUAAGCAGAAGUUCGCACUCGCAUAUUUGUUCGGUUAUUCCCUUCGUUCCACGCUGUCCAGAAUAUCCACACACAGAUGAACUCUUAUCUCAGCCUUCCUUUAAUACCGAUCAUGAUAAGCUAGCUGUCAGAUAGCAAAUGCUUAUAUGACACAGUGCCCCAGCGACACCCGCCCCGAAGCCUUUCCCCACCUCCCGCGAUCGUGCCAGCCCCAAUUACAAUAAUAAUCAGUGUAACAAUGUCUGCACGGCAUGAAAUAACAAUACAGUUGAGAGAUAGUUGAACUGCGCCCUUGUCGUACGGAACAAUGUAACGUCAAGUGCAUUGUAGACAGCACCCCCACAAUUAGGUGAGCACAAGGUAAAUGACAGAAGGCUAUGGGAGCAGACGUUCGUGCGCUGUGGGAACGAACGCCUAUUAACGUAGGCAGCAUCUAUACGACGGUAGUCUAUCUAGAAUACUAGAACGACGACAUUGUGGUCAGUGACGAAUAGCAGCCAGUAGAGCUCGGUCCACAAUGUUUACAUGUUGGUCGACUACAUACAAAUAUACACACAGCCCUGACGCAGAAAGGAUUCGAUGAAGGCAGACAGGCAUGCAUAAAAGGAAAAUUUGGGUCGAAAACGGAUUUAAGUUGUAUGUGAUAGCAGCUGACUUUGAAGGCAUACACCAUCUAAUGUGUCUCGUGGUUCAACCAAGCUAUUCAAAGCAACAUGCUGAAUCCUAGAUGAAAUCGGUGGGUCGAUUUGCCCUUUUCUAUACUAAUCUUCGUAGAAAUUUUAAGUGCUUUAACGGGUCCCAGCUUUGGACCACGGAUGCAUUGCAUAGAAAACCGGAAUUCCUACUAAGCACUAAGAUCUCAAAUACAACCCGCGCCAUAUAGUUUUCGUGGCUACAGCUCUAAUAGUUCAUAUCAUAAAUAUACUUUCUAUUAUCUUGGCUAUGGUUUUAUUGCAGACAGUAUUAGCUGGCACCCAUUUUAGUGAGGCGCUAGAAUUCACAAUCGGUGACGACGAGGCCGUUGCAUGAACUGCGGAUGGCUUGGCCUUAGGCUUCCGCCUCGGUGCCUGUGAUGACGGUGAUCGGUGUGAUGACUACUGAGAAAUAAAUGCAAACGUCUACUGGGAAUGUAUGCACCCAUCUGUGGCAACUUCUCCCGAUUUCCAUAACUGCCGCCUCUGAGGUUCACCGUGAGGGGUCAUUUGCAUGCAUAGGAGACCUGGCGCCUGCCCUAGUAACUGAAAGGUGGAUGGACAAACGGCGCCCGGGCUUUGUUCUCCAGUUAGGCAGCUUGACGUAUUUUCUUAGCUACCCCCUCGAAAAAUGAUUGAGACAAAGGCUACAUUAGUUGAAGGGCCUUUAACUACAAAGGUUCAGCUCGUCCUCAUUCGUUCUGUUGCUGCUAAUCGAAACGCAGGAUCUUUAUAGGGUGGGACAAUAGGGGCAAUAUAGUUAGAGCCGUAACACUCACCAAUGAAGUUAUAAAUUUAAAAAUAGCUUUUCUUCGGAUGAUACCUCCUAGCUUUUCAUUUUGUUAUGUAGCGCCUAGUAACAUGAAUAUUUUUGUUUAGAUCUCCGAACAAUACGAAAAAUAAAUAAAAGAAACUUCUUUCCCUAAGCUUGUCCUAGCUCCGUGUCACCAAUCGUAUUGAGCUAAAACCUGAUCGAGUUAAUUAGCUAAAGGUAGAAGCAUCUGUAAUUGGACACACAUUUGGAACAACUUUCAUUACAAAAACCUAAUGAGAUACAUAAUGCUAGCCUAUAAAGGUGCUAGAUAAAGUCAAUCUAGACGCCUGAGAGUGGUAGACGAAAAUUAAGUCAAAUCUACGUACAUAUAUAAGAUAAGAAUCAACGUAUGUCCUGAUAUUGACUAAGCCUGAGUCCCAUAUGAUAUUACAUAAUUAGCGUACAAAAGUAAUCAUCAGUAAAAAAAAAAAACAUGGAUUAUAAAUCUAGUUUUUCCGUCCUAAUUCAGCUCGACUUCUCACACUAUCGAUGCCACGGAACCGCCUGCCGCUAUAAAAUAGUUCUCUUUACGUUUUUUUGCAACAAUAAAAAAUACGUAUCGUAAAAUUGUAGGGUUUGGGGUGUUGGCCCGCUUUUCCUCUCACCAAGUUUUCCCUUCCAACCUCCAAUGUUUGCGUAUCUAAAUUUAACUCAGAUCUUAUGUUAUCUCUGGCUAAAUAUCCUUUAUAUAUUCUUAAGGGGAUCCAAGAGCUAUUAUUUUUAAGUGGCGGUCUUGAUGAGAUACGCGCCUUAUUACAGGCAACGUACCUACUGCUUGUGCAGGAAGAGCGUUUUUAUGGAAUUAGAUGGAUAAGCGAGAACGCAAAAUGCAUAACCUUAUACAUUUAUAAAUGUGGGCGUUUGCGUCUAGCCGUCUACAUACGAACAUGUCAGACCGAAAAUUUAAAAAAAAAAGACCAAGAGCCGAAUCACAUCACCGCAGCUUACGUUGCAUAUAUAUAUAUAUAUAGCGAGAGAAACAUAGAUAUCGCAAUCUAAGGUCUCUAUGAUUUUUCGUAGCUUUCAAGAUUGUUCCGGCCCUUUUCCACAGAAAAGUUACUUGUAAAUGAUUCACUAGAUCUUAUCGAUAUUGUCGCAAUGUUACAGUCCAGUCUUGUCCAACCUAGAUUCUUGCUUCUGUCGAAUGACAUAUGUGUAAUAUUCCAUAUAUAUAUAUAUAUACACUUUGUUAGUAUUAUUUACCGAGCGAAAAAGGUCAAUGACAUUAACUAUAAGUAACGGUAUUAUUACAUUUAUUAGAAUAAGCAUCCAUAGUUAUAAAAAUUGGACGUUCGAUUUUUGGAGCUCGUAUGUGCAACCAACAUUUUACUGAGAGUAUGUCUAUAUAUUAUACCUAAGACAAAAAACACAAUACAUCUAUAAUCCUUUUUUUUCAGUUGUAAUAUUAUUUUGUCUAAUGGCGGCCUGCAACCGUGUGCGUGUCCGCCAUUUUGUAUUGGCUAAGAACCUCAUGAUCGCAUUACAAUGACCCGACAUUCAAUAAUCGUACGUUUUCAUACCGCAGUAGCUAGAGCGCUUCUCAAUCGCACGCGGCGUGCAGCUGUUUUUGAAUUGAUGCGCAUCUAAAUACGCUAACGAAAUCUAUUAUUAAGUUGUUCUUCGAAUUGGUCCGGAAAAGUUAAACGAGACAGGCAUGGACUGUAUCGCCUGAUGUUUGCAACGAAUUCAAGUAAUUCCACGAUGAGGACGCUCUGUACAUUCUGAACAAGCCACAGGUUCGUGGCUUGGCAUAUUCAUCGAUGCGGCACGCGUCUGUAUGUAUUCCACAAGCUACAUCCUCCUCCGCCAUGUCUCAGCAUGUAGCUUUUCACGGAAAGCAUCAGCAGAAUUAAGAUCCUGAGGAACAUCUACAUUAUACAGAUACGACUUCGUUCAUUAUAUAACUAUAAAAUAAAAUUUCUAUCCCACUGCCCUUUCAGUGCUCAAUUGGGCAGUCUUUAGCUACACUUAUUGUACUAACGUUUGUACAAAUAAAUUUUUAUUUAAUUUAUUCCUCCGCUUAUGAAAGCUGCUGUUUAUUAUAUGUGGUUGCUCUUGGCACCUCUUGCUAUUCGUAAUUAUGAUCACUAGUGAUUGACAUUGAUUAAAUCAUAAGCGAACAUAAUUAUCGACACCUUCGAGCAUUUAAAAUGUGCCUUAGUUCGUCGUUGGCCCAGGCUAGUCGACGUAAUAGGGUUAGAGCUUUGACUAUCCUGAGGGAUUCGAAUUUAUUCAGGAGAUCUUUAUGCAGAUUACGAGGCAGAUCCACACUCCUCGGCUUUUUCGUUGGCCUAUCGAUAAAGCUUCUCCCCAAAGCCAGGCCUCGGAAGUCACUCUACUCGUGUAAGGGACUGCUUAACGUGAGCAACAGAAGUUUUUCAAAGCGUACUGAUAACGACUACUGGUAUUCAUCGGCGUCCAAUCUCAGCCCCUUCGAAGAGAUAACGUGGCGGACCCGCCGAAAAGUUCAGCUGUUUGCUGUAGCCGUACGAGCGUACUAAACAUGUAUGGUUAUUUAGAUAUUGAGUACUGCGGAUCAGUUAAGUUAAACGAACACAACUUAUUGUUUAAAACUGUUAUAUAACCGUUUGACUAAAGUUAUUUCGAACGGAGAAUAUAUAAACAAACUACGGAAGCUCGAAACGAAUCAUCCUGGACUU